rfam:Halomonas subglaciescola strain ACAM 12 genome assembly, chromosome: I
GGGAGCGGUGUGAGCCGAGAGGUUCACGCACCGUUCUGCGAGAGACUGAGGGUGCGACUCCCUUGGUCUACUCACC